rnacentral:misc_RNA from 1 species
GUGAUUAAAUCGAGCGUGUCUUCAUUGACCGCUCACCCUUCUCACCAUCCACAUACGCCUGUGCACUGUUUAGCCUGAGCCGGUUUUCCGGUCCAGGUUAUCAUUUCAUACAAACUCUAGUCUUAUGAAUGUAAACGUUUUAAUAACACAAUA